UAAGCAUAUCAAUAAGCGGAGGAAAAGAAACCAACAGGGAUUGCUCUAGUAACGGCGAGUGAAGCAGCAAUAGCUCAAAUUUGAAAUCUGGCGUCUUCGACGUCCGAGUUGUAAUUUGUAGAGGAUGCUUCUGAGUAACCACCGACCUAAGUUCCUUGGAACAGGACGUCAUAGAGGGUGAGAAUCCCGUAUGCGGUCGGAAAGGUGCUCUAUACGUAGCUCCUUCGACGAGUCGAGUUGUUUGGGAAUGCAGCUCUAAAUGGGAGGUAAAUUUCUUCUAAAGCUAAAUAUUGGCCAGAGACCGAUAGCGCACAAGUAGAGUGAUCGAAAGAUGAAAAGCACUUUGGAAAGAGAGUUAAAAAGCACGUGAAAUUGUUAAAAGGGAAGGGAUUGCAACCAGACUUGCUCGCGGUGUUCCGCCGGUCUUCUGACCGGUCUACUCGCCGCGUUGCAGGCCAGCAUCGUCUGGUGCCGCUGGAUAAGACUUGAGGAAUGUAGCUCCCUCGGGAGUGUUAUAGCCUCUUGUGAUGCAGCGAGCGCCGGGCGAGGUCCGCGCUUCGGCUAGGAUGCUGGCGUAAUGGUCGUAAUCCGCCCGUCUUGAAACACGGACCAAGGAGUCUAACAUCUAUGCGAGUGUUCGGGUGUCAAACCCCUACGCGUAAUGAAAGUGAACGGAGGUGAGAACCGCAAGGUGCAUCAUCGACCGAUCCUGAUGUCUUCGGAUGGAUUUGAGUAAGAGCAUAGCUGUUGGGACCCGAAAGAUGGUGAACUAUGCCUGAAUAGGGUGAAGCCAGAGGAAACUCUGGUGGAGGCUCGCAGCGGUUCUGACGUGCAAAUCGAUCGUCAAAUUUGGGUAUAGGGGCGAAAGACUAAUCGAACCAUCUAGUAGCUGGUUCCUGCCG
rnacentral:rRNA from 1 species